rnacentral:rRNA from 1 species
CGAUCGCUGGCGGCGUGCUUAACACAUGCAAGUCGACCGGAAAGGCCCUGCUUUUGUGGGGUGCUCGAGUGGCGAACGGGUGAGUAACACGUGAGUAACCUGCCCUUGACUUUGGGAUAACUUCAGGAAACUGGGGCUAAUACCGGAUAGGAGCUCCUGCUGCAUGGUGGGGGUUGGAAAGUUUCGGCGGUUGGGGAUGGACUCGCGGCUUAUCAGCUUGUUGGUGGGGUAGUGGCUUACCAAGGCUUUGACGGGUAGCCGGCCUGAGAGGGUGACCGGCCACAUUGGGACUGAGAUACGGCCCAGACUCCUACGGGAGGCAGCAGUGGGGAAUAUUGCACAAUGGGCGGAAGCCUGAUGCAGCAACGCCGCGUGCGGGAUGACGGCCUUCGGGUUGUAAACCGCUUUCGCCUGUGACGAAGCGUGAGUGACGGUAAUGGGUAAAGAAGCACCGGCUAACUACGUG